rnacentral:snoRNA from 1 species
CUUUUUGAUGAGAAAAAUUUGCGAUUGAUGGCAAGUUGGUGACCGCAACGCCUAGCUGGUUAUACCGCUUGCUCACCUGAAAUUUAUUUCUUACAUAUUCUGAAC